rnacentral:lncRNA from 1 species
AUGAAACCUGUUGCAUUAAAACCUUCAAACUUAUCUUCAACUGAAAAAUUAAGAAGCAUUCGGUGUCCAUGUGAACUCUUCUAUGUUUGCUGCUCCAAAAUUAUUUCUAAGGGCACAGCAGCAUCAGUCAUCACUGGUAGCCCCGAGCCAACAGAUUUUUGCCGAGUGCACAUUUCACUGGCCUGCACUAUCACUGGAAGCAGAGAAGUUGGUGCAAGGCUUAGUACGCACCCUUUCUUCAGAGCCUUCACUGGCAGACAGGGACAUGCAUCAUCCAACCCAGGAAGUGGGAAUAACAAAGUGGUUAAGAAGGCAAGAUUUGACCAGAAAGAUGAGAGAACAGAAAUGAAGAAUAAUUAG